GAUGAACGCUGGCGAAUGCUUUAACACAUGCAAGUCGUACGAACUCUUCGGAGUGAGUGGCGGACGGGUGAGUAACGCGUGAGAAUCUGGCUGUGGGUCGGGGACAACCACUGGAAACGGUGGCUAAUACCGGAUGAGCCGAAAGGUAAAGAUUUAUUGCCCACAGAUGAGCUCGCGUCUGAUUAGCUAGUUGGUAAGGUAAAAGCGUACCAAGGCGACGAUCAGUAGCUGGUCUGAGAGGAUGAGCAGCCACACUGGGACUGAGACACGGCCCAGACUCCUACGGGAGGCAGCAGUGGGGGAAUUUUUCCGCAA
rnacentral:rRNA from 1 species